AGAGUUUGAUCCUGGCUCAGAUUGAACGCUGGCGGUAUGCUUAACACAUGCAAGUCGAACGGAAACAGGACGCUGUGAUCUCUUCGGAGUGAACUUGUCGCUGUCGAGUGGCGGACGGGUGAGUAAUGCUUGGGAAUCUGCCCAGUAGUGGGGGACAACACGGGGAAACUCGUGCUAAUACCGCAUACGCCCUACGGGGGAAAGCGGGGGAUCUUCGGACCUCGCGCUAUUGGAUGAGCCCAAGUCGGAUUAGCUUGUUGGUGGGGUAAUGGCCCACCAAGGCAUCGAUCCGUAGCUGGUCUGAGAGGACGAUCAGCCACACUGGGACUGAGACACGGCCCAGACUCCUACGGGAGGCAGCAGUGGGGAAUAUUGGACAAUGGGGGCAACCCUGAUCCAGCAAUACCGCGUGUGUGAAGAAGGCCUGCGGGUUGUAAAGCACUUUCAGUAGAGAAGAAAAGCCUAUGGGUUAAUACCCUCGAGUCUUGACGUAACCUACAGAAGAAGCACCGGCUAACUCCGUGCCAGCAGCCGCGGUAAUACGGGGGGUGCAAGCGUUAAUCGGAAUUACUGGGCGUAAAGCGCGCGUAGGCGGUCUGGUCAGUCGGAUGUGAAAGCCCCGGGCUCAACCUGGGAAUUGCAUUCGAUACUGCCAAACUAGAAUGUGGAAGAGGGAAGUGGAAUUUCCGGUGUAGCGGUGAAAUGCGUAGAGAUCGGAAGGAACACCAGUGGCGAAGGCGGCUUCCUGGCCAAACAUUGACGCUGAGGUGCGAAAGCGUGGGUAGCGAACAGGAUUAGAUACCCUGGUAGUCCACGCCGUAAACGAUGAGAACUAGUUGUUGGGAGGGUUUUGCCUCUCAGUGACGCAGCUAACGCGUUAAGUUCUCCGCCUGGGGAGUACGGCCGCAAGGCUAAAACUCAAAGGAAUUGACGGGGACCCGCACAAGCGGUGGAGCAUGUGGUUUAAUUCGAUGCAACGCGAAGAACCUUACCUGCCCUUGACAUUGACAGAACCCUUUAGAGAUAGAGGGGUGCUUCGGCCUGGAAAACAGGUGCUGCAUGGCUGUCGUCAGCUCGUGUCGUGAGAUGUUGGGUUAAGUCCCGCAACGAGCGCAACCCUUAUCCAUAGUUGCCAGCACGUAAUGGUGGGAACUCUAUGGAGACUGCCGGUGACAAACCGGAGGAAGGUGGGGACGACGUCAAGUCAUCAUGGCCCUUAUGGGCAGGGCUACACACGUGCUACAAUGGCCGGUACAGAGGGUUGCCAACCCGCGAGGGGGAGCCAAUCCCAGAAAGCCGGUCGUAGUCCGGAUUGGAGUCUGCAACUCGACUCCAUGAAGUUGGAAUCGCUAGUAAUCGCGAAUCAGCAUUGUCGCGGUGAAUACGUUCCCGGGUCUUGUACACACCGCCCGUCACACCAUGGGAGUUGGUUGCACCAGAAGUGGGUAGACUAACCUUCGGGAGGUCGCUCACCACGGUGUGGUCAAUGACUGGGGUGAAGUCGUAACAAGGUAACC
rnacentral:rRNA from 1 species